rnacentral:tRNA from 1 species
GCUCAGUCAGUAGAGCAUCUGCCUGCAGUGCAGGAGACCUGGAUUCAAUUCCUGGAUAGGGAA